UACGGGGGGGGGCAAGCGUUUGUUCGGAAUUACUGGGCGUAAAGGGCUCGUAGGCGGCCAACUAAGUCAGACGUGAAAUCCCUCGGCUUAACCGGGGAACUGCGUCUGAUACUGGAUGGCUUGAGAUUGGGAGAGGGAUGCGGAAUUCCAGGUGUAGAGGUGAAAUUCGUAGAUAGUCGGGAGGAACACCGGUGGCGAAGGCGGUUCUCUGGGCAUUACCUGACGCUGAGGAGCGAAAGUGUGGGGAGCGAACAGG
rnacentral:rRNA from 1 species